AACGAACGCUGGCGGCAUGCCUAACACAUGCAAGUCGAACGAGACCUUCGGGUCUGGUGGCGCACGGGUGCGUAACGCGUGGGAACCUGCCCUUAGGUUCGGAAUAACUCCCCGAAAGGGGUGCUAAUACCGGAGCAUGUCUUCGGACCGAAGAUUGAUCGCCUUUGGAUGGGCCCGCGUUGGAUUAGCUAGUUGGUAGGGUAAAAGCCUACCAAGGCGACGAUCCAUAGCUGGUCUGAGAGGAUGAUCAGCCACACUGGGACUGAGACACGGCCCAGACUCCUACGGGAGGCAGCAGUGGGUAAUAUUGGACAAUGGGCGAAAGCCUGAUGCAGCAAUGCCGCGUGAGUGAUGAAGGCCUUAGGGUUGUAAAGCUCUUUUACCCGGGAUGAUAAUGACAGUACCGGGAGAAUAAGCACCGGCUAACUCCGUG
rnacentral:rRNA from 1 species